GACGAACGCUGGCGGCGUGCCUAAUACAUGCAAGUCGAACGCACUCUCGUUUAGAUUGAAGGAGCUUGCUCCUGAUUGAUAAACAUUUGAGUGAGUGGCGGACGGGUGAGUAACACGUGGGUAACCUGCCCUAAAGUGGGGGAUAACAUUUGGAAACAGAUGCUAAUACCGCAUAAAACCUAACACCGCAUGGUGUAGGGUUGAAAGAUGGUUUCGGCUAUCACUUUAGGAUGGACCCGCGGUGCAUUAGUUAGUUGGUGAGGUAAAGGCUCACCAAGACCGUGAUGCAUAGCCGACCUGAGAGGGUAAUCGGCCACACUGGGACUGAGACACGGCCCAGACUCCUACGGGAGGCAGCAGUAGGGAAUCUUCCACAAUGGACGAAAGUCUGAUGGAGCAACGCCGCGUGAGUGAAGAAGGUUUCGGAUCGUAAAACUCUAGUUGUUGGAGAAGAAUGUAUCUGAUAGUAACUGAUCAGGUAGUAGUACGGUAUCCAACCAG
rnacentral:rRNA from 1 species